AUGAUUCAAAUUGAAAUCGAGAAGGAGAAGAAGGGUACCGAUCCGAAUAGGGGAGACAUCGACGACUAUGGCACUUCCAUCAGUUUUCCGGUGGUGUCCAAUUUCACGGUGUUUUUUUGCGAGCUUAUGUUUCAUGACUGCAAGAUUUAUCAGUCUGCCUUUGAGUUAGGUCAUCUUGAAGUGAGAAACUCAUGUCUCAUUAGCAGUCUGCACGAAUAA